UGCAAACAAAGAGCGUGGAUGAGGACAUCCAAUAACAGCGUGUGAAUCACGCAGUGAAGAUGUUGCUGUUUUAAACAAUGAUGUGAUCUCACCUUAUUUCCCCAGCGUUUCACGGCCAGGCUUCCAGGAUUUGGGAGCGCGUAGCCUGUCCGCUGAAAUGUGUGCAGCCAGCUACCUCUUCCUUUAAGCACCCAACAGCUGAGCUGCGCAGUCAUUGUACAGCGUUUCGCACGCAGCUGCCGCAGCCGGACCGCAGCCGGACCGCAGCCGGACCGCAGCCGGACCACAGCCGGACCGCAGGACCCCUCUUAUUCACAGUCGCUCUUGUGUUAUGAGGGAAAUCCCCUUUGAUGUUUCUCAGCUUCGUGGAGACCCGACCUGUCAGGGGAGAUGCCGCGAAAAGGCCAUGAUGGAACACAGGGGAGCGAGAGAUCCACCCCCUUCCCUGACUCCGCAGCCUCGUCGCACUCCUGUUAAAAGUGCUUGUAAGAUGGAGCAGAUAAUAGAGAGUGUGCAGUAGGCCAAAGCCUUUUUUGCCUGGAGAGAACAGGAAUUGAUUGUUCUGGAAACUGAUGAAUCUUCAGCACAAUUAGAUUGCAAGGCCGCGCUGUGGGGGCAGAGAUUGAAGCGG